UCGUGCACGCCCGAGUGUGUCGCCUCACAUAAUAAUCCAUCUCACCCUUUGUGCAUCACCGCGUGGGCACCCCUUUGGGAUCAUCUCGGAGGGGGCUCGCGUUUUCACACAAAACCCCCCUUUUAAAAGUGUAGAAUGACCUCAUUUAUGCGCUAACCCGCAAUCAAUACAACUUUCAACAACGGAUCUCUUGGCUCUCGCAUCGAUGAAGAACGCAGCGAAAUGCGAUACGUAAUGUGAAUUGCAGAAUUCAGUGAAUCAUCGAAUCUUUGAACGCACCUUGCGCCCCCUGGUAUUCCGAGGGGCACACCCGUUUGAGUGUCGUGAAAACCUCAACCUCCUUGGUUUCUUCUGGAGACCAAAGCAGGCUUGGACUUUGGAGGCCUUUGCUGGCACCUCUCGCCAGCUCCUCUUAAAUGAAUUAGCAGGGUCCUCUUUGCUGAUCCUCGACGUGUGAUAAGAUGUUUCCAUGUCUUGGUUUCUGGCUCUGUCACCUUUGGGACCCGCUUCUAACCGUCUUCAACCUUGCGUUGAGACAACGUUCGAGCAUGUCUCCCUUCUCGGGAAGCUCCCUCGACCCCACGAACCCUUGACCUCAAAUCGGGUGAGACUACCCGCUGAACUUAAGCAUAU
rnacentral:misc_RNA from 1 species